rnacentral:rRNA from 1 species
CCUACGGGAGGCAGCAGUGGGGAAUCUUGCACAAUGGAGGAAACUCUGAUGCAGCGAUGCCGCGUGAGUGAAGAAGGCCUUUGGGUUGUAAAGCUCUUUUGUAGGGGAAGAUAAUGACUGUACCCUAAGAAUAAGGUCCGGCUAACUUCGUGCCAGCAGCCGCGGUAAUACGAAGGGACCUAGCGUAGUUCGGAAUUACUGGGCGUAAAGCGCGCGUAGGCCGUUGAGUUAGUUAAUUGUGAAAUCCCAAAGCUUAACUUUGGAACUGCAAUUAGAACUGCUCGACUAGAGUUUGAUAGAGGAAAGCGGAAUACAUAGUGUAGAGGUGAAAUUCGUAGAUAUUAUGUAGAACACCAGUUGCGAAGGCGGCUUUCUGGAUCAACACUGACGCUGAGGCGCGAAAGUAUGGGUAGCAAAGAGGAUUAGAUACCCCCGUACGUCCAUACCAUAAACGAUGAUUGCUAGAUGUUGGUAAAUUUUAUUUUACUAGUAUCGCAGCUAACGCAUUAAGCAAUCCGCCUGGGGAGUACGACCGCAAGGUUAAAACUCAAAGAGUAGUGGCGUGUUGAGUGUUCGACGACGCCACGACGGAGGGAGG